rnacentral:rRNA from 1 species
GACGAACGCUGGCGGCGUGCUUAACACAUGCAAGUCGAACGAUGAAGCGGCCAGCUUGCUGGUGGUGGAUUAGUGGCGAACGGGUGAGUAACACGUGAGUAACCUGUCCUUCACUCUGGGAUAAGCCCUGGAAACGGGGUCUAAUACUAGAUAUUCUCAAUGUGCCGCAUGGUGUGUUGUGGAAAGAUUUUUUGGUGAGGGUUGGACUCGCGGCCUAUCAGCUUGUUGGUGGGGUAGUGGCCUACCAAGGCUUUGACGGGUAGCCGGCCUGAGAGGGUGACCGGCCACACUGGGACUGAGACACGGCCCAGACUCCUACGGGAGGCAGCAGUGGGGAAUAUUGCACAAUGGGGGAAACCCUGAUGCAGCGACGCCGCGUGAGGGAUGACGGCCUUCGGGUUGUAAACCUCUUUCAGUAGGGAAGAAGCCUUCUUUGGGGGGUGACGGUACCUGCAGAAGAAGUACCGGCUAACUACGUGCCAGCCGCCGCCGUAACAC